rnacentral:lncRNA from 1 species
AUGCUCAUGCAUUUGUACUCCUUUUCCUGUCCUUGUCGGAGUGCUGAGGGUUGUUUGUCUUUGGCUCCUUCUCUUUGCACCCCAAAGUUCAUCCACUGGGAAUCAUUUUCUCAAGGAGGAAUUCAUCACUCAUAUUCUGAUGAGUCCGCUGCCGACGGCAAAAUGUUGACACCCCCUGCGAACGGGUUCUCUCUGAGGGCAUGGCCACCAUGGAACGCGCUAUUUUACCCCAACAGCGAAAAUCAGCACCACCAGCUCAGCCCCUGGUUCAGACAGCUGUGUUUUCUUCUGGAGUUUGGGGAAGCUGACAUUCACAGUUCAUGACUGUGGCUGAAACCAAGAAGAAUAAGUCUCCCCUCACCCAACAUCUCUCAACCCUGGAAAAAGGCAGCAAUGUCCUCACAUCUGGGCCAAUGUUCCAGAGAGUUUCUGUACAAAUUUGUACCAGCGCUAGCACUGGUGAGACGUUCUUCUGCCCUGUUAAAGAUCAGGAUGCUGAGUUCCUUAUUUAACGGAGCACAGGAAGCGUUUUGAUGCUUGGUAGGAGCUCACUGCUAUUCUAAGUGCUAAGACAACUAGGGCUCCUGUUUUCAAAAAACUUAAAUUUUAAGGAAAACAGGUCAGAAUGAAUAAGCAAAUAAUGCAAGACAAUUACUGAAUGUCAGGAUUGCUGUGCAUCAGUGGACACAGAAACGAGAGGGACAACUUCUGGGUGGGGGUUAUCUGUUUAUUGAUGGGCCUGUCUGAUAGAAAUGUGACCUAAAUAUGACUACAGGAUACGAAGAAUCCAGCUCUGCCUUGGUCCCUGAAAAGAGCUUUCUAGGGAGAGGGGAGAGCACGCUGAAAAGUCUUGAAGUGAGAAUGACCUUGGGAUAUCAGAAGAGCAGAACAGAGGCGGUGUAGCCGGUGCAUGGAGACAUUUGGGAGAUGCAGGAGGAGAGGAAAUCAGAGGAGGCAAGAACCGGGUCAGAACCCUGAGACACUGGGCCCAGCUUGGGCUACAUUCUGUAUUCAGGAGGCAACGUGUGUGAGUUUUAACCGUGGACAAGUCUUGACUUGAAUGCUUUUAAUGUUUUCAAAGAACAUUUUGGCUAAGAAUGUUGAAAAGUUUUAAAUUUGCAGCUGGAAAGUACCAAUAAAUCUUUAAUCCCUCGUUUUAUGUUUUCAGAUGGAAAAACUAGAGUUCACAAAAACAAGUAUUUAUUCGAAAGGCUUACAUUUUGUUAAAAGUAAAAGCAGACCUGUCAUGUAAAGGUACAAGAUCCCAGUAAUGAAUAUAACUGUACUGUAUACCUAGAAUAUAGCAAUAAACUCAAUUUAAAAAAAAAGUAAAAGCAGGAUCUAAAAUCAAAACUUUGGUCUCGGCCUACGCUCUUUACACUCAAGUGCCGCAGACUGAUUAGAAUCACACAGGCUGUCCUGAUUGUUUAAUCACAGGAGAACUUAUUAGACAAAGUAGCUCCUCAGAGCUCCCGGGCCUGAGGAUGGCCCAUCUACUGGCCACUGUAUCUGCCUUGACCUUUUUCUCCUGUUCUGUCUCUCUCCUAACUGAUUUGUCUUUCUGAGAGCAGCAGAGAACAGCAUGCCUGUAUCCUGGUGCCAUUCUGAUGAUCCAAGUUUGCUCAUUCUGAAGAAGGCAGUGGGUUUCCCGAAGCGCUGGGGAAAGUGUUCUCCCCAGGCUCUACCCAGCACACCGUCCUGGGGCCAUCAAUGUGCACUACUUCAGCCUCAGACACAUAGAGCUGCUAUUAAGUCUCCCUCCCCGUCACCCCUUGGAAUAAGAGACUGGACAGAAGUAUGCACCCCUCCUCUCUUUCCAAUCCUGCCUGCAUCAGUCCUCAAAUCUUUCUCUGCCCAAAUAAAAAUUUAACAAGACAAAACCUACGCAUUUUAAUUUCUACAAUUAGUUGCCUUAAGGUAUCCUUUCCUGUUUCUUAGCUUUCCAAAGAGCCCAAUUCUGGAUCCUAUUCCAUAUCCAAAAAGACUCCACACUAAAUGAGAACCAAGGAAAACAUGGCUGCCUGUGGAUGGGCUUCUGACAGUCCCCAGAGUCCUUCUGCUGUGGAGUUAGCAUGUAAAGUCUUGCUUUUCAGGUAGCUGUUACUGCGGCUGUAUUUUUCUGUGACGUAAGCAGUGCCGUGCCUGCCCAGAGAAUGGUGCAAAGAAGGAUUUCUUGCUGGAAAGACUUCUUAAUAAGUCAUUGCCUGAGGAUGAGGUGGUCCUUCUUAAUGUACAGAGGAAGAGCUCAGUCACUAGAAGGUAUUUACGGCCUGGGAAAGUGAGCACUUGGCCCUCAGCCAGGCUGACCCACUGACAGGGAGGGUCUGGAGGAGCCGCACAUGGUGGUUUCUGUCUGCCACUGAUUUUUCAGGGAACAGUCACAAGUUGCACCAUCGCACCAGGGAACUGAAAGCUUGAUGGAGCAGGGUUUGGGAGCACAGGUGUUUGGGGUAAUAGAAGGAGCAAGAGAGGGAAUGCCUGAAGGAAAGGAGCUCUGAGACAUUCCCGAGUGUGCGCAGGGCCCUUGUGCCUGUGGACAAUGCUUCUCUGCAGAAUUUGGAAAUGAGAUUGAUGGUCAAACCAGGACUAUAAGACACACAAAGAGAGGGGCCAGAGACUUAUCUCAGUGGUUCUGCCUCCUGCCUCGCAAGCACAAGGUCCUGAGUUCAAUGCCCAGUACCAAAAAAAAAAAAAAAAAAAAAAAAAAAAAGAGAGACACACACACACACACACACACACACACACACACACAAAGAGUAUUUGUAUUUCGAUUAUCAGACAUUUAUGCCUUUUCUUUUCAGAAUGCAGGAAAAGGGCAAGAGGAAGAUCGGAGGAAUAGAAGAGCAAGAGGAAGGGUAUAAAGGAUUAAGGAAAAGAGGCGCUUCUAAUCAUGAAUUACAAAAGGUAGAGAAAGUUGGAAUCUAGAAGCUUGACAUGUAUACAUCAUUCAUUAGUCUAGUUAGCUUGGGCCAAAUCUAGUCAUCUUUGCUUUCAAACUCUAGGGAACGCUAAGAAAUAGCUCUUUCUUGUAUCCUGUGAUAUAUGGAAAUUGCACAAUUUCCUGAGCUCCUGUUGGUUUUACCUACCACACAGGCAUGGUUCUGGGCUGCUACCUCCCAAGCCAUGGACCCCCAUCAAGGAGUUACUUGCUCUCUGCUCUCUGGAGAGGAGGAAGACCAUGGCAAACAGGAGCCAGAAGGGAAUGUUUUGCUUUUCUGCUCCCUGGGAAGCACUGCUCUGAGAGUCUCUAGAGCAUAAAUUCAGAAGUGCCCCACCCCAGUGUUUGGGGGAUCUUUUUCACUCCAGUGUCUCAUAGAACAAUGCAUGCACUCUUUCCCAAUACAAUCUGUGUUCAGACGUGAUUUAUACCAAUGUAUCAGUAUAAUUUCCUCCCAUCUGUGCUGAGAUGCUAAGUUGAUACAAAUGAAUUGCUAAUGAAAAAUUUAAAUACAGUACUCGCCGGCCUUCUAUGGAAGUAUGUGAUCAUCUACAAAUGGUAAAAUCAUCCCUCAUAUGGUCUUUAAGAUCCUAAAUGAUCUGAUUUCUGUUUAAGUCCCUACAUUUUAUCUCAUUACUUGCUCCUCCCCUACCUUCUCACGACACUGGUCACACAGCCAGUGCAUUUGCUCUUUCUUUUUGAAACUGUCUCCCUUUUCUCUUCACACAGGUGAGACUUUACACCUGAGCUCACCUGCCUUUUCUCACAGGGAUCUGCCCUGCUUUCUCAGACCAGGUCAGGUCUUCCUACUGCUACCACGGGCACUCACAGAACAAGGUGCCGCACCCUAGCAUUACGAUUAGAUCUGGAUGGAUAUCAUUCGGUAAAUUACUAUUUAGGAAGACUUAAUGGUAACUCCUACACAACUGUAUUAUCAGAAUCAAGAAAUUGUCACUGAUGCCACAGAGCUGAACUACAGACUGGGUUUAUAGGUAUAUCAAUUGGCGUGUACUGUCUGUGUGUGCAUAUGUAACUAUGAAAUCACUUCACGUGUACAGAUUUAUGUCACAGCACAGAAACGGUGCAUGGAAUCAUUCCAUCACCACAAAGAAAUUCCUUAAUACUACCCUUUUAUAGUUACAACUAUGAAUGUCUAUGUUAUCUAUUACUGCAAUUUUGUCAUUUCUAGAAGGUUUUAUAAACAGAUUUGUAUAAUGUAUAAAUUUUUGCAGUUGACUUUUACAUUCAAUAUAAUACCCUCAUGUUAUGGCCCUCUUAUAGAAACAAAUUGGACAUCUGACCACAAAAUGUGGCUUGAAUGCCAAUUACAGACCAAAAAGAUGUGGAAAUAUUCAUUCUCUUAUGAUAGGCUUUCUGGAGAGAACAGAGCAGGCUCCCAAAUAGGCCAGAAUCUCACUUAAGAAAGAAAAGAGGAAAAAUUACUUUUGCCUUUCACUGUGGUUUGGCAAUGGACCUAGAGUGAUGGUUCCUAUAUGUAGCUCAGGGUUUGUGUGGCUUGAACUUUCCACCAGUGUCAAAUGAACAAAACCUCUCAGUAUGCAAACAGUAGAAAUGAUGUCAGAUACUGCUAUGGCUUGUUUCUAGAUGCCCUCCCCCCAAAGCCUCAUACACUCAUAGGUGGGACUUUUGAGAAGUGGCUGGAUCUAGGCUGUGUGUGAAAAGUAAAUGGACUUAACAUAGUUCUGGGUGUGAAUAAAGGAAGCCCCAGCCUGGGUGUGCAUGGCACCAAUCGGGGCUUCUAGCCUGGAUGGAAUACAAAGCCAGAGAUGGGAUGCAGGCUUUCUACUCACUGCUUGCUGCUGGUACCUCCUGCCUGCACCGCUAUGAACUUUUCCUUUUCCAUGAUGCUCUGCUUUGCAGCCAGCAAACUAUAAAGUGAAUCCUGCAUAAACUGUGAGACAAAAUAAACUUUUCUUUAACUUGUGGGUAUCGAGUAUUUUGUCUCAGAAAUGAGAAAUGUAAAUAAGACAGGUAUUUUCUUCCGCCUUUCAAUUCAUCCAAGUUGUUGUAUGCAUUAAUCACUCACUGUUAUUACUAGGUGUUUUUCUAUUGUAUGGUUGGAUUACGAUAUGUGCAUCAAAUCACCCUUGUAAGUGCACUGUUUGUCAAUUUGGACUAUUUCAAGUGUGGGUCUUAUGAACAUUUAUUUACAGGCUG